rnacentral:rRNA from 1 species
UGGGGAAUCUUGCACAAUGGGGGAAACCCUGAUGCAGCGACGCCGCGUGAGCGAUGAAGCCCUUCGGGGUGUAAAGCUCUUUCGACGGGAACGAUAAUGACGGUACCCGGAGAAGAAGCUGCGGCUAACUACGUGCCAGCAGCCGCGGUAAUACGUAGGCAGCAAACGUUGUUCGGAAUUACUGGGCGUAAAGAGUGUGUAGGCGGCUUUGUAAGUUCUGUGUGAAAUCUCCCGGCUCAACUGGGAGGGUGCGCCGAAUACUGCAAGGCUUGAGUACUGGAGAGGAUAGCGGAAUUCCUGGUGUAGCGGUGAAAUGCGUAGAUAUCAGGAGGAACACCGGCGGUGUAGACGGCUAUCUGGACAGUAACUGACGCUGAGACACGAAAGCGUGGGGAGCAAACAG